UGCCUGUGCCCUCUGCUGAGACUCAUAACUGUGACUUCUGCACAGUCUGGCCCCACACAGCCAUUCCUCUGCCCACCCCCUGACAUCCUCGGGCGGAGGUACCUGACUCAGGUCCAGUGAGGGGUCAGAGAGCUGGGGUAUCAUUUGCAUGGACAGAUCCGCCCUCUCUCCGUGGAUGAAAAAGGAACAGAUGAAGGGAGGUUUGUUCAGCUGUGGGGCACAGAAGACAGGAUCGGUGAUGGUCUCCACCAUGGCUUGGUCUCCGGUCCUUCUCACCCUCCUCGCUCACUGCACAGGGUCCUGGGCCCAGUCUGUACUGACUCAGCCAUCCUCGGUGUCAGGCUCCUUGGGCCAGAGGGUCACCAUCUCCUGCACUGGAAGCAGUUCCAACAUUGGUAGCAAUUAUGUGAGCUGGUACCAACAACUCCCAGGCACAACCCCCAAAAGCAUAAUCUAUUGG